rnacentral:rRNA from 1 species
AGUGAACGCUGGCGGCGUGCUUAACACAUGCAAGUCGAACGAGAACGGAUUAUAGCUUGCUAUAAUUGUCAGCUAAGUAGCGCACGGGUGAGUAAUGUAUAGGUAAUAUGCCUCUUAAUAAGGGAUAACAAAUGGAAACGUUUGCUAAUACCUUAUACUUCUUAUUAACAGAAGUUAAUAAGGGAAAGAUUUAUUGGUAAGAGAUUAGCCUGUAUUGUAUCAGUUAGUUGGUGGGGUAAUGGCUUAACAAGACUAUGACACAUAACUGGUUUGAGAGGAUGAUCAGUCACACUGGAACUGAGACACGGUCCAGACUCCUACGGGAGGCAGCAGUGGGGAAUAUUGCACAAUGGACGAAAGUCUGAUGCAGCAACGCCGCGUGGAGGAUGACACAUUUCGGUGCGUAAACUCCUUUUAUAUGAGAAGAUAAUGACGGUAUUAUAUGAAUAAGCACCGGCUAACUCCGUGCCAGCCGCCGCCGUAA